CACAAGCGGUGGAGCAUGUGGUUUAAUUCGAAGCAACGCGAAGAACCUUACCAGGUCUUGACAUCCCCUGACAACCCAAGAGAUUGGGCGUUCCCCUUCGGGGGACAGGGUGACAGGUGGUGCAUGGUUGUCGUCAGCUCGUGUCGUGAGAUGUUGGGUUAAGUCCCCGCAACGAGCGCAACCCUCGCCUCUAGUUGCCAGCAUUCGGUUGGGCACUCUAGAGGGACUGCCGGCGACAAGUCGGAGGAAGGUGGGGAUGACGUCAAAUCAUCAUGCCCCUUAUGACCUGGGCUACACACGUGCUACAAUGGGCGGUACAAAGGGCUGCGAACCCGCGAGGGGGAGCGAAUCCCAAAAAGCCGCUCUCAGUUCGGAUUGAAGUCUGCAACUCGACUUCAUGAAGUCGGAAUCGCUAGUAAUCGCGGAUCAGAACGCCGCGGUGAAUACGUUCUCGGGGUUU
rnacentral:rRNA from 1 species